AGGGCACCACCAGGAGUGGAGCCUGCGGCUUAAUUUGACUCAACACGGGAAAACUCACCCGGCCCGGACACUGGAAGGAUUGACAGAUUGAGAGCUCUUUCUUGAUUCAGUGGGUGGUGGUGCAUGGCCGUUCUUAGUUGGUGGAGUGAUUUGUCUGGUUAAUUCCGAUAGCGAACGAGACUCUAGCCUAUUAAAUAGAUCGUUGGCUUACAAACGCCGGCGAGACUUCUUAGAGGGACAGGCGGCGAUUCAGCCGCACGAAACAGAGCAAUAACAGGUCUGUGAUGCCCUUAGAUGUCCGGGGCCGCACGCGCGCUACACUGAAGUGAUCAGCGUGCAUUUUGAAACCUACUCUGUCAAGAGUGGGGAACCCAAUGAACCUUCUUCGUGAUUGGGAUAGGGGAUUGUAAUUAUUCCCCUUGAACGAGGAAUUCCCAGUAAGCGCGAAUCAUAAGUUUGCGCUGAUUACGUCCCUGCCCUUUGUACACACCGCCCGUCGCUACUACCGAUUGAAUGUUU
rnacentral:rRNA from 1 species